ensembl:lncRNA
GUCCAGGGGUCCGCCCCCUCCGCCAAGGUGGGCAGCCCAGGGAGGGGGAUAAGUUUGCGGUCGGUGGGUUGUGUUGGAGCUUUGGGACGGGCUGAUCGUUCUGUGCCCGGUACCUAGAGCUGCUGUAGGGCACGGGGUUUGUGCGGGGCUUGAGGAUGGUUCGCGAUUAUGGUGAUAUCGCCGAGGGGAGGGGAUCACCGGUAGUCGUGCGGCGCUGUAGUGACUUGGUUUCUGUUCUUGGUAUCCGGCUCCAUUAGGGACCGUGUGCACGCAGAUCCAAAAAAGGAAAGAAGUGAAACGGGCUCUGCCCUGCAGCUGUGCUGCACAGCAGGAUGUACGUAUCGCAGGGAUGUUACCUUAUAUUGCAGGAGAUUGGGGUUUGCUCUCCCCACGAUGCAAAGCUCACUGGAAACUUGUCCCCAUAGUUUGCAGGAGUGUUCAGCGCCGUGCUUGUGCUCUGCUGGGAGAGGAAAAGAGAUGGGAUUUGAUCACAGGUAUUCAGGAACAGGAAACGGUGAGGCUGUCUAGACGCUAAGAUGUCAAACGCUAUGUGGAGCAGGUAGAUUCAUGGGAGGCAAAUAAUGCAGGUCACCACGUCAGAAGUGCUCUUACACUGAUACAGCAUGCCUGUAUACAACAGCACUGCACAGCCUUGCCCUUUCCUCCUGUAUUGAUGUUUAUCAGUUCGCCUUAUACGUUUGUUCAGGAACUACAGAGGCAGCAAAUGAAUCUGACUGAAAUACACAACUAGAGGAAGUGAGAACACAAGGAGUGGCAGGGAAGGUUGGAGUGCAGCAGAGCUGAUUUCAAUCAGCUUAACCUGCUGCUGAACCACAUGUUCAGAAUUACUUCCCCCUAGAUACAGGAACCCCCAGGUACGUGGGAGUCGUGCUUACAUGAUUGCUGCAGCGAGGAAAACUGCACAGCUGAGCUCAAAUUCCAUGGCUGCAAAGGAAGCACAUGGAGCUGAGAGAGGAUUCCCAAACAUUUGGCAGAAGAGCUGUUUGAGAUGUCCAUGCGCAGUGUCAGA